rnacentral:rRNA from 1 species
AGAGUUUGAUCCUGGCUCAGGACGAACGCUGGCGGCACGCUUAACACAUGCAAGUCGAACGGAGAACAUUGAGCUUGCUUAAUGUUCUUAGUGGCGGACGGGUGAGUAACACGUGAGUAACCUGCCUCUGAGAGUGGGAUAGCUUCUGGAAACGGAUGGUAAUACCGCAUAACAUCAUGGAUUCGCAUGUUUCUAUGAUCAAAGAUUUAUCGCUUAGAGAUGGACUCGCGUCUGAUUAGCUAGUUGGUAAGGUAACGGCUUACCAAGGCGACGAUCAGUAGCCGGACUGAGAGGUUGAUCGGCCACAUUGGGACUGAGACACGGCCCAGACUCCUACGGGAGGCAGCAGUGGGGAAUAUUGCACAAUGGGGGAAACCCUGAUGCAGCGAUGCCGCGUGGAGGAAGAAGGUUUUCGGAUUGUAAACUCCUGUUGAAGAGGACGAUAAUGACGGUACUCUUUUAGAAAGCUCCGGCUAACUACGUGCCAGCAGCCGCGGUAAUACGUAGGGAGCGAGCGUUGUCCGGAAUUACUGGGUGUAAAGGGAGCGUAGGCGGGAUGGCAAGUCAGAUGUGAAAACUAUGGGCUCAACCCAUAGACUGCAUUUGAAACUGUUGUUCUUGAGUGAGGUAGAGGUAAGCGGAAUUCCUGGUGUAGCGGUGAAAUGCGUAGAGAUCAGGAGGAACAUCGGUGGCGAAGGCGGCUUACUGGGCCUUUACUGACGCUGAGGCUCGAAAGCGUGGGGAGCAAACAGGAUUAGAUACCCUGGUAGUCCACGCCGUAAACG